AGGCAUUGGAGAAUUAUUUCAGUUAUUCUGACAACUUAUAUAAAUAUAUAAUUUAUUACUGUUAUAAUAAAGAUAUGAAUUAGGAAAUAUCUAAUAUAUUAUUACACGUACUUUUUGUUCUGUAGAAAUAUUUUAGUAGGUGAUUUCAUCAUUGGUAUUCCAAGCGAUACUUAUCAGUUUACAAAGUGUCGUACAAAAGAGGUACUAAAAUGUCAUUAAGUCACAGGCCAUAUCUUCGCUCAGGUCUGGCUCGGACUCUCUACGAUCGAAUGAUGAAAGAGGAGGAACUGAAAAGCUUGGACAAAUCUCAGUGGUAUCGGUGCCGGUUGGAGCAAGUGUGUCCGCAGAUACGAGAUUUGUUUCUUCAGUGUCAUCCAGACGAAGACAGCCUUGCUUUUCUUCACAACUCCUAUAAAAGAUCAGAUUGGUUGUUUACUCAGUUGUUUCAUGUGUUGGCGAAAGCCGUUUUAUGCUGGUUUAUGACUCGCACGUCACUUAAUG